rnacentral:rRNA from 2 species
ACGGGAGGCAGCAGUGGGGAAUAUUGGGCAAUGGGCGAAAGCCUGACCCAGCAACGCCGCGUGAAGGAAGAAGGUCUUCGGAUUGUAAACUUUUUUGACAGGGGACGAUACAAGACGGUACCCUGAAAACAAGCCACGGCUAACUACGUGCCAGCAGCCGCGGUAAUACGUAGGUGGCAAGCGUUAUCCGGAUUUACUGGGUGUAAAGGGUGAGUAGGCGGGAAAUCAAGUCGGGUGUGAAAUGCAAAGGCUUAACUUUUGAACUGCACUCGAAACUGUUUUUCUUGAGAGUCGGAGAGGUAAUCGGAAUUCCCAGUGUAGCGGUGAAAUGCGUAGAGAUUGGGAGGAACACCAGUGGCGAAGGCGGAUUACUGGACGACAACUGACGCUGAUACACGAAAGCGUGGGGAGCAAACAGGAUUAGAUACCCUGGUA